rnacentral:rRNA from 1 species
GAUGAACGCUGGCGGCGUGCUUAACACAUGCAAGUCGAACGGAAAGGCUCCUGCUUGCAGGGGUACUCGAGUGGCGAACGGGUGAGUAACACGUGGGUGAUCUGCCCUGCACUUCGGGAUAAGCUUGGGAAACUGGGUCUAAUAUAGGAUAGGAUGAUGGUUUGGAUGCAAUUGUGGAAAGUUUUUCGGGGUGGGAUGAGCUCGCGGCCUAUCAGCGUGUUGGUGGGUUAAUGGCCUAACAAGGCGUCGACGGGUAGCCGGCCUGGGAGGGUGUACGGCCACAUUGGGACUGAGAUACGGCCCAGACUCCUACGGGAGGCAGCAGUGGGGAAUAUUGCACAAUGGGCGCAAGCCUGAUGCAGCGACGCCGCGUUGGGGAUGACGGCCUUCGGGUUGUAAACUCCUUUCGCUAGGGACGAAGCGCAAGUGACGGUACCUAGAGAAGAAGCACCGGCUAACUACGUG